UGCGACGUCUUAAACGAAGCGAGCGGCGUCGCCGCGGCGUCGAUGUCGGGGAUCCAAGACGCGGUCGAGGCGUUGCAAGUGGCGCAGACGAAGCUCACGAAACCGACGACGACGUUUCGCGGGGACCUGGAAUUCACCCCGUUCGUCUCCUUGAAGGUGUGGGUGUACAAGAAAGUGAGCGAGGCGAAACCGCCGAGCAUGAAACUGAGGGUGGACGACGACGAGAGCGGCGGCGCGCACGAGCCGAACGUCGUCGUGCGGGAGCGGAGCUUCAAAUCGUACGCGGACCCGGACAACCCGGUGAGCGUCCCGUCCGAGAUGAUGAUCAGCGCGUACCCGUACGGCCCGACGAACAUUCCGAUCCAGGACGACGUCGCCGCGCUAGUCGCGUCGAAGAACGACAAGGGGAUGAAGAUAUUCGGGUUCACCCCGCUCGACACCGUGCCGCAGUGGCUCGGGAUGGACGAGGCGAGAAUUUUAGUGCCG
rnacentral:lncRNA from 1 species